rnacentral:rRNA from 1 species
AUUGAACGCUGGCGGCAUGCCUUACACAUGCAAGUCGAACGGCAGCACGGGUGCUUGCACCUGGUGGCGAGUGGCGAACGGGUGAGUAGUACAUCGGAACAUGUCCUGUAGUGGGGGAUAGCCCGGCGAAAGCCGGAUUAAUACCGCAUACGAUCUACGGAUGAAAGCGGGGGACCUUCGGGCCUCGCGCUAUAGGGUUGGCCGAUGGCUGAUUAGCUAGUUGGUGGGGUAAAGGCCUACCAAGGCGACGAUCAGUAGCUGGUCUGAGAGGACGACCAGCCACACUGGGACUGAGACACGGCCCAGACUCCUACGGGAGGCAGCAGUGGGGAAUUUUGGACAAUGGGCGAAAGCCUGAUCCAGCAAUGCCGCGUGUGUGAAGAAGGCCUUCGGGUUGUAAAGCACUUUUGUCCGGAAAGAAAUCCUUGGCUCUAAUACAGUCGGGGGAUGACGGUACCGGAAGAAUAAGCACCGGCUAACUACGUG